rnacentral:rRNA from 1 species
CUAAUCUGCGAUAAGCGCCGGUAAGGUGAUAUGAACCGUUAUAACCGGCGAUUUCCGAAUGGGGAAACCCAGUGUGAUUCGUCACACUAUCAUUAACUGAAUCCAUAGGUUAAUGAGGCGAACCGGGGGAACUGAAACAUCUAAGUACCCCGAGGAAAAGAAAUCAACCGAGAUUCCCCCAGUAGCGGCGAGCGAACGGGGAGGAGCCCAGAGCCUGAAUCAGCAUGUGUGUUAGUGGAAGCGUCUGGAAAGGCGCGCGAUACAGGGUGACAGCCCCGUACACAAAAGCGCAUGUGCUGUGAGCUCGAUGAGUAGGGCGGGACACGUGGUAUCCUGUCUGAAUAUGGGGGGACCAUCCUCCAAGGCUAAAUACUCCUGACUGACCGAUAGUGAACCAGUACCGUGAGGGAAAGGCGAAAAGAACCCCGGCGAGGGGAGUGAAAAAGAACCUGAAACCGUGUACGUACAAGCAGUGGGAGCACAGGUUUACCUGUGUGACUGCGUACCUUUUGUAUAAUGGGUCAGCGACUUAU